AAUCAACGCUGGCGGCGUGCCUAACACAUGCAAGUCGAACGCGAAAGCCCCUUCGGGGGUAAGUAGAGUGGCGUCCGGGUGAGUAACACGUAGGUAACCUACCUCUGGGUGGGGAAUAACGUCUCGAAAGAGACGCUAAUACCGCACAAUGCAGCGGCACCUAAUGGUGAAUAGUUGUUAAAGCGGGGGACCCUUCGGGGCCUCGUGCCUGGAGAGGAGCCUGCGGCAGAUUAGCUAGUUGGAGGGUAAUGGCCUACCAAGGCGACGAUCUGUAGCUGGUCUGAGAGGACGGCCAGCCACACUGGCACUGACACACGGGCCAGACUCCUACGGGAGGCAGCAGUGGGGAAUUUUGGGCAAUGGGCGCAAGCCUGACCCAGCAACGCCGCGUGAGGGAGGGAAUCCUUCGGGAUGUAAACCUCACAAGCAAGGGAGAGCGCGAAGGGGUGAAUACCCCUUGUCCGACGGUACUUGCGUAAGCCACGGCUAACUACGUGCCAGCCG
rnacentral:rRNA from 1 species